GGGGGUGUAUUGGAUUCGACAGGGCCGGUUUGAAUCAUAGAGCGCAUGCCGGGGUGUGGCCACCUCGUUAAUAAGGCCACAAAAAACAACUGCCAACUACAGCUACGCAUACGCUGCUUAAUUAAGGCAGCCGUCCCUUUCCGAGGUGCUCCUGCUCGGAAAGAGGGCGUGAUAGACAGGAGCUGGACUCAAACCCUUGCCUUCGGGGUUUGGGUCGAGAAACGAGAAGGCUAUCCCUCAAAGCACCUGCCUGUCGGUGUGAGAGGGAGAAAAACAAAGACAGGCUAAGCAUGUAGGGCUCUAUGGUUCAAGGCCCCUGGACGCGGGUUCAAUUCCCGCCACCUCCACCA
rnacentral:tmRNA from 1 species